UAGCUCAUUUAGAGUCGAGUUUU
rnacentral:snRNA from 1 species